CAAUAGCGUAUAUUAAAGUUGUUGCGGUUAAAAGCUCGUAGUUGGAUUUCUGCUUGGAAUCUCGGGUCCCCUUCUUAAGGGAGCAUCUUGUAGAGUCUAGGCAUCCUUGAAAAUUAGUUAUUUGUGCUUGAUUGCAUGGUGACUGUUUUUCAAUCGUUUACUUUGAGGAAAUUAGAGUGUUCAUAGCAAGCAAAUGCUUUGAAUAUAUUAGCAUGGGAUAAUAAUAUAAGACUGAGUUUUUAUUUUGUUGGUUUCUAAGAAUUCAGUAAUGAUAAAUAGGGGUUGUCGGGGGUACUAGUAUAUACUCGUCAGAGGUGGAAUUCUUGGAUUGAGUAUCGAC
rnacentral:rRNA from 1 species